rnacentral:ncRNA from 1 species
GUUGGAGUAUGGUCACAUGGCUGAAACGUAAAGAAAUUGACGGAAGGGCACCACCGGGAGUGAAGCUUGCUGUUUUAUACGAUUCAACACGAGAAAACUUAUGAGGGUCCAAACAUAGCAAGGUUUGACAGAUUGAAAGAUUUUCUUGAUUCUGUGAGAGGUGGUGGAUGGCCGUUCCUAGUUGAUGGAGUGAUACGUCUGAUUAAGUUGCUAACGACCGAGACCUCCGCGUGCUAAAUAGUCCCCCUUACCAUUUUUGGUAGUUUGCGGACUUAUAUUAAAAAGGAAGAUUUUGAGCAAUUAGACCAAAGAAAAUUGGAGGUAAUAACAGGUCUGUGAUGCCCUUAGACCGCUCGCGUGCUCCACUGAUGAAUUUAACGAGCAUAUAAAAUUGAUCGAUGGGUCUAGGUAAUCUUGUGAAUGCGCAUCGUGCUAGGAAUAGACUGUUGCAAUUUUUGUCUUGCAGUGAGUGCAAGUCAUCAGCUUGCAUGUCAUUUGUACACAAUGCCAGUCGCACCUACCUAUUGAAUGACUCGGUGAAAAAUUAAGAUCGUGGUUUUGCUUGCUUCAUUGCGAGUCAAAUGAUGGGACCUUUUUUAAACCCCGCCAUUUAGCGGAAGGUAAAAUCGAAAUAAGGUUUCCGUAGGUGAACCUGCGGUAA